rnacentral:rRNA from 1 species
CUAUGUGUUGUUGGGUAGGGGAGCGUUCUGUAAGCCUGCGAAGGUGUACUGUGAGGUAUGCUGGAGGUAUCAGAAGUGCGAAUGCUGACAUAAGUAACGAUAAAGCGGGUGAAAAGCCCGCUCGCCGGAAGACCAAGGGUUCCUGUCCAACGUUAAUCGGGGCAGGGUGAGUCGACCCCUAAGGCGAGGCCGAAAGGCGUAGUCGAUGGGAAACAGGUUAAUAUUCCUGUACUUGGUGUUACUGCGAAGGGGGGACGGAGAAGGCUAUGUUGGCCGGGCGACGGUUGUCCCGGUUUAAGCGUGUAGGCUGAUUUUCCAGGCAAAUCCGGAAAAUCAAGGCUGAGGCGUGAUGACGAGGCACUACGGUGCUGAAGCAACAAAUGCCCUGCUUCCAGGAAAAGCCUCUAAGCAUCAGGUAACAUCAAAUCGUACCCCAAACCGACACAGGUGGUCAGGUAGAGAAUACCAAGGCGCUUGAGAGAACUCGGGUGAAGGAACUAGGCAAAAUGGUGCCGUAACUUCGGGAGAAGGCACGCUGAUAUGUAGGUGAAGUCCCUCGCGGAUGGAGCUGAAAUCAGUCGAAGAUACCAGCUGGCUGCAACUGUUUAUUAAAAACACAGCACUGUGCAAACACGAAAGUGGACGUAUACGGUGUGACGCCUGCCCGGUGCCGGAAGGUUAAUUGAUGGGGUUAGCGGUAACGCGAAGCUCUUGAUCGAAGCCCCGGUAAACGGCGGCCGUAACUAUAACGGUCCUAAGGUAGCGAAAUUCCUUGUCGGGUAAGUUCCGACCUGCACGAAUGGCGUAAUGAUGGCCAGGCUGUCUCCACCCGAGACUCAGUGAAAUUGAACUCGCUGUGAAGAUGCAGUGUACCCGCGGCAAGACGGAAAGACCCCGUGAACCUUUACUAUAGCUUGACACUGAACAUUGAGCCUUGAUGUGUAGGAUAGGUGGGAGGCUUUGAAGUGUGGACGCCAGUCUGCAUGGAGCCGGCCUUGAAAUACCACCCUUUAAUGUUUGAUGUUCUAACGUUGGCCCCUGAUCGGGGUUGCGGACAGUGUCUGGUGGGUAGUUUGACUGGGGCGGUCUCCUCCUAAAGAGUAACGGAGGAGCACGAAGGUUGGCUAAUCCUGGUCGGACAUCAGGAGGUUAGUGCAAUGGCAUAAGCCAGCUUGACUGCGAGCGUGACGGCGCGAGCAGGUGCGAAAGCAGGUCAUAGUGAUCCGGUGGUUCUGAAUGGAAGGGCCAUCGCUCAACGGAUAAAAGGUACUCCGGGGAUAACAGGCUGAUACCGCCCAAGAGUUCAUAUCGACGGCGGUGUUUGGCACCUCGAUGUCGGCUCAUCACAUCCUGGGGCUGAAGUAGGUCCCAAGGGUAUGGCUGUUCGCCAUUUAAAGUGGUACGCGAGCUGGGUUUAGAACGUCGUGAGACAGUUCGGUCCCUAUCUGCCGUGGGCGCUGGAGAACUGAGGGGGGCUGCUCCUAGUACGAGAGGACCGGAGUGGACGCAUCACUGGUGUUCGGGUUGUCAUGCCAAUGGCACUGCCCGGUAGCUAAAUGCGGAAGAGAUAAGUGCUGAAAGCAUCUAAGCACGAAACUUGCCCCGAGAUGAGUUCUCCCUGACUCCUUGAGAGUCCUG